UCCGCUGUCAGAAUAGUUUGUGUGUUGGGCACAAUGAUGGAACAAAAUUAUUAGUGCAAUUUUAAUAGAAAUAGUUUAUAAAUAUGGAGUACAGAGUCAAAUAACACGGUAUGUCCCCCGCCCCCCGCCCGCCAUGCCACGAUGACCCCGCGCGCCCGCAGCGCCGCCCUGCUCUCCCUGCUGCUGCUCGUCAUCAUCUGCUGCUACGGGUACAAGAGGAAGUACCUCGUCUGUAAGAGCCCGGAGCCGUGCAAGCCCCCGCAGUUCCUCCGCCUGGAGGACGAGCGCCUCACGCGCCAGCUCCUCGACAACUACAAGCCGCCGCCGCUGCCCAAGAUCUACUUCUGACCAACCAGAGCAGAGCUGAUAUACAGUGAAGACUGAAUGGAACUGGACAGAGAGUUGGUUCAGGAAGUGAUCGUUUUUUUGGUGACUUGGCUCAUCUCUUACUUGGAAUCUCGAUUUGAAUCACCACUACUAGCUUAAAUUACUAUCUUCAGUAAAAGGUGACGAUGCCUGUUAGUGAAUUUGUCCUGGUAUUGUUCCACAUCGUGCUAACAAUAUACGAGAUCACUUUAAACCGCAAGAAGUCUUUCAUCAAACCUAAAGAGUCCACAAGAGGACACAAGAUCCCGCUUGUUGUGUCGGAACCACAGGAACUAAACCGGAGCUCGCUGAAUGUGAAAGAGACGUCUAACGUUGGUGGAGAGACUAUCGUUUGUGAACCUAAGAGUUGCGGUGUUUGGAUCGCUUGAGUAUAAUCCCCCUCUAUGGACUACACCCGUCUGCUGCUGGUGCUGCUGGUCUGUCCGCUGCUGCUGCUGCUGUGUCUGCCGCGCAACGACCAGCUGGUGCAACUGCGCUGCGUGCGCUGCCCCCCCGCGCCCCGCCACUUCUCCGCCGUCUACCUCAACCCCGACGCCGAGCCGAACUGCCACCACCAACCUAGACCCAAGGGGUUUUGAUAACAACCAUACUGGAGUCACACAGACAACGUCUGUCGCUCAAGCGCUGCUUGCGCCUGCUUCUAACAAUACUUGCAGUGUCACUGGUGUACUGCUGUGGUGGUCUCCAACGCCACCAGGAUCUGGGAGCCACGCCAAGGUUCCCCUGCUCUGUGCCUCUGGAGGGGCAGCCGAAGUACAUGAAGAAUAGGCCGAAGCCGCCCAAACCGCCGACUGCUGAAGACGAUUACACGUAGAUUGUGAAGAGAAUUGGUUCAUGAUAUUCUGGACUUUGCUUGAGAGUGGAGUUUCUUGGUGGUGCUGUAGAUGAUGAAGGUGGAUGUAAGGAUGAUACUGGUGCUGCUGGUGUACCUGCUGAUCGCGUGCUGCGGCGGCGGCGGCAAGAAGAAGCCGAAAGAGCGCGUGGUGUGCUACCGACCCAGGACCUGCCCGGACUAACUAUAUGCAUAGCUGAUUAUGAAUAUGAAUACAAGAUUUUUGUAAAGUUUU